CGGGUGAGUAACGCGUGAGCAAUCUACCUUAGUUACUCGGGAUAGCCCGAGGAAACUCGGAUUAAUACCGGAUAUUCUUAUUUUUUCACAUGAAGUUUUAAGGAAAGGUCAGCCGAACUAAGAUGAGCUCGCGUUCUAUCAGCUAGUUGGUGGGGUGAAAGCCUACCAAGGCUACGACGGAUAGCUGGUCUGAGAGGACGAUCAGCCACACUGGGACUGAGACACGGCCCAGACUCCUACGGGAGGCUGCAGCAGGGAAUAUUGUGCAAUGAGCGAAAGCUUGACACAGCGACACCGCGUGUGGGAUGACGGUUCUAGGAUUGUAAACCACUUUCAGGAGGGAAGAAAAUGACGGUACCUCCACAAGAAGACCCGGCCAACUAUGUGCCAGCAGCCGCGGUAAUACAUAGGGGUCAAGCGUUGUCCGGAUUUAUUGGGCGUAAAGAGCUCGUAGGCGGUUCAACAAGUCGGUCGUAAAAGUUUAGGGCUCAACCCUAAAAUGUCGAUCGAUACUGUUGUGACUAGGAUACGGUAGAGGUGAAUGGAAUUCCGAGUGUAGCGGUGAAAUGCGUAGAUAUUCGGAGGAACACCAAUUGCGAAGGCAGUUCACUGGACCGUGAUCGACGCUGAGGAGCGAAAGCUAGGGGAGCAAACAGGAUUAGAUACCCUGGUAGUCCUAGCUGUAAACGAUGGAUACUAGAUGUAGGAACUGGAUUGACGGUUUCUGUAUCGUAGCUAACGCGUUAAGUAUCCCGCCUGGGGAGUACGGUCGCAAGACUAAAACUCAAGGAAUUGACGGGACCCCGCACAAGCGGCG
rnacentral:rRNA from 1 species